rnacentral:rRNA from 1 species
ACUCCUGCGGGAGGCAGCAGUGGGGAAUAUUGCACAAUGGGCGCAAGCCUGAUGCAGCCAUGCCGCGUGUAUGAAGAAGGCCUUCGGGUUGUAAAGUACUUUCAGCGGGGAGGAAGGCGAUAAGGUUAAUAACCUUGUCGAUUGACGUUACCCGCAGAAGAAGCACCGGCUAACUCCGUGCCAGCAGCCGCGGUAAUACGGAGGGUGCAAGCGUUAAUCGGAAUUACUGGGCGUAAAGCGCACGCAGGCGGUCUGUCAAGUCGGAUGUGAAAUCCCCGGGCUCAACCUGGGAACUGCAUUCGAAACUGGCAGGCUAGAGUCUUGUAGAGGGGGGUAGAAUUCCAGGUGUAGCGGUGAAAUGCGUAGAGAUCUGGAGGAAUACCGGUGGCGAAGGCGGCCCCCUGGACAAAGACUGACGCGCAGGUGCGAAAGCGUGGGGAGCAAACAGGAUUAGAAACCCCUGUAGUCCC